UACGUAGGGUGCGAGCGUUGUCCGAAAUUAUUGGGCGUAAAGAGCUUGUAGGCGGUUUGUCGCGUCUGCUGUGAAAAUCCGGGGCUCAACUCCGGACUUGCAGUGGGUACGGGCAGGCUAGAGUGUGGUAGGGGAGACUGGAAUUCCUGGUGUAGCGGUGGAAUGCGCAGAUAUCAGGAGGAACACCGAUGGCGAAGGCAGGUCUCUGGGCCACUACUGACGCUGAGAAGCGAAAGCAUGGGGAGCGAACAGG
rnacentral:rRNA from 1 species